rnacentral:rRNA from 1 species
UACGUAGGGGGCUAGCGUUGCUCGGAAUGACUGGGCGUAAAGGGCGCGUAGGCGGUUUGUACAGUCAGGUGUGAAAUUCCCGGGCUCAACCUGGGGGCUGCACUUGAUACGUAUGGACUGGAGUGGGGAAGAGGGUCGUGGAAUUCCCAGUGUAGAGGUGAAAUUCGUAGAUAUUGGGAAGAACACCGGUGGCGAAGGCGGCGACCUGGUCCUUGACUGACGCUGAGGCGCGAAAGCGUGGGGAGCAAACAGG